rnacentral:misc_RNA from 1 species
UUUCCGUAGGUGAACCUGCGGAAGGAUCAUUAACGCUCUGUGUCCAACCUCACCGCUGGGUUGGGGAGGGGGCCACGUGCCUCCACCUCUCCCUCCGGCGAGCACCCGUGACCGGUUGAAGUCCACCCCCGUGCACCUCACACCUUGCCUGAUCAGCGGUGUCGGCCCUUCGGGGUCUGGCACUCAGUUGUAUUGAACGAGACCACAACUUUUAACAACGGAUAUCUCGGUUCCC